rnacentral:rRNA from 1 species
ACGGAAGGCAGCAGUGGGGAAUAUUGGGCAAUGGGCGAAAGCCUGACCCAGCGACGCCGCGUGAGGGAAGAAGGUCUUCGGAUUGUAAACCUCUUUCAUCAGGGAAGAAGAAAGAGACGGUACCUGCAGAAGAAGUCACGGCGAACUACGUGCCAGCAGCCGCGGUAAUACGGAGGUGGCGAGCGUUAUCCUGAAUUACUGGGUGUAAAGGGUGUGUAGGCGGGGAGACAAGUCAGGCGUGAAAACUACGGGCUCCAACCGUAAACUGCGCUUGAAACUGUCACUCUUGAGUGUGGGAGAAGUAAACGGAAUUCCUGGUGUAGUAGUGGAAUGCGUAGAUAUCAGGAGGAAAACCGGUGGCGAAGGCGGUUUACUGGACCACAACUGACGCUGAGACACGAAAGCGUGGGGAGCAAACAGGAUUAGAUACCCUGGUA